GGGGGUGGUGGGUGCAGGAAGGUUUUAACAUUAAUAUAGGUUUACAUGAAUCCAUGAUAGACGUAUGCAUCAUGUGAAAUUGAAUAAGAUCCCACUGGAAUGUACAACACACACUAAAUCAACUAUACAUUUUAAUGAUAUGGACUUCUCCACAUUGAUUCUGAUCUCAAAAGUCAUUAAGCCCUUGUUUGGUUUGGCUAAAAAUCGGAUUUUUAGUAGAUUUUGAUAAAAGUUGAUAAAAUUCGUGGUUGAAAAAUUAAUAAAGGUUGUGGAUCCUAUAAAAUGUUUGGGCAAAAUGCAUUUUAAAAAUUGGGGCCAAACAGUGGCUAAAUUUGAAUUACAAUUGCAUUAAAAAAUACAAUCAGGUAUACAUCAUUGACAAAUAAAUUUUCAAUUCAGUGAUUGGUAAAUUUUUCCGGGAGCUGAAAUGGAAAUGUGAGUUGGCAAAAUCAUGGUAGAACCUGAGCUACUUAAAUUCUAAAUAAUGGGGAAUCUGUUCAAGAAAAUCUAUGCAAGCAUUUCUUUCCUCGUAUCUUGAUGAGUUCUAGUGAGAUCCACCAUAGACACAUACAAAGAGAAUCAAAGCUAAUAAACCAACUAUUUUCUUCUUAUCCUUUGUGCUUAAUCAAGGAAAUUGACAGAGCACAGCACUGUUAUGAUCAAAGCAACUUACAACAUUGAACAAUGCUGGGUCUUCAUUAAAAUAUUCAAGUGCCUUGUCUCCACUGGAUGAAGAAAAAGAGAAAAAGAAAAUAU
rnacentral:lncRNA from 1 species